rnacentral:piRNA from 1 species
UAGAUGUUUUUUUGGAUUUUGCAUCUAAAA